rnacentral:rRNA from 1 species
AGAUUGAACGCUGGCGGCGUGCCUAACACAUGCAAGUCGAGCGGUAACAGGUGUAGCAAUACAUGCUGACGAGCGGCGAACGGGUGAGUAAUGCUUUGGAAUCUUCCCAGUAGUGGGGAAUAACCAGUCGAAAGAUUGGCUAAUACCGCAUACGUCUGUAAAGGGAAAGCGGGGGCUCGUAAGACCUCGCGCUAUUGGAUGAGCCAAAGUCGGAUUAGCUAGUUGGUGGGGUAAUGGCCUACCAAGGCGACAAUCCGUAGCUGGUCUGAGAGGACGACCAGCCACACCGGAACUGAGACACGGUCCGGACUCCUACGGGAGGCAGCAGUGGGGAAUAUUGGACAAUGGGGGAAACCCUGAUCCAGCGACGCCGCGUGUGUGAAGAAGGCCUGCGGGUUGUAAAGCACUUUUAGUGGGGACAAAAGCUACGGAUUAAUACUCUGUGGUCUUGAUUUAACCCAAAGAAAAAGCACCGGCUAACUCUGUGCCAGCAGCCGC